UACAGAGGGUGCGAGCGUUAAUCGGAAUUACUGGGCGUAAAGCGCGCGUAGGCGGCUUUGCAAGUCGGGUGUGAAAUCCCCAGGCCUAACCUGGGAACUGCAUUCGAGACUGCAUGGCUAGAGUAUCGGAGAGGGAAGUGGAAUUUCAGGUGUAGCGGUGAAAUGCGUAGAGAUGUGGAGGAACACCAGUGGCGAAGGCGGUUCUCUGGGACGGUACUGACGCUGAGACGCGAAAGCGUGGGGAGCGAACAGG
rnacentral:rRNA from 1 species